UCCUCGGUGGCCAGCUGGUCUCCGACGACUCGAUUCGGAGCAACACUUCCCUCAAGAGCUCUUCCGGCAUGUUCGCCCAGCAGGAGGACUCCAUCCCGCGGUCCGGCAAGGCGGCGGCGGCGGCGGAGGAUGAUGACGAAGCGUCCUGGACCACCCGGUGCGACCGUGACCGGCUAAUAAGAUUCCUAAUUGCAGACAUUUUUUGGAUCAAACCGUGGUGGGUAGGGAGGGAUUAAGAAAUGCUCUUCACUCCUUAAUCUAAAG
rnacentral:lncRNA from 1 species